GGGAUUGCCUCAGUAACGGCGAGUGAAGCGGCAACAGCUCAAAUUUUAAAGCUGGCGUCUUUGGCGCCCGCAUUGUAAUUUGGAGAGGCAUCUUCGGUUUGGUCGCCAGCCUAUGUUCCUUGGAACAGGACGUCACAGAGGGUGAGAAUCCCGUGCUUGGCUGGCUGUACCUCUCCAUGUGAAGUGCCUUCGACGAGUCGAGUUGUUUGGGAAUGCAGCUCAAAAUGGGUGGUAAAUUUCAUCUAAAGCUAAAUAUUGGCGGGAGACCGAUAGCGCACAAGUAGAGUGAUCGAAAGAUGAAAAGCACUUUGAAAAUAGAGUUAAAAAGUACGUGAAAUUGUUGAAAGGGAAGCGCUUGAGACCAGACUCGGCCGGAGACGAUCAGCGGUCCUUCGGGGCUGUGCACUCGCCUUUGGUCGGGCCAGCAUCGGUUGGGGCGGUGGGAUAAAGGCCCGGGGAAUGUGGCUCCUUUCGGGGAGUGUUAUAGCCCCGGGCGCAAUGCUGCCUGCCCCGACCGAGGACCGCGCUCUUUUGCUAGGAUGCUGGCGUAAUGGUCUUCAGCGACCCGUCUUGAAACACGGACCAAGGAGUCUAACAUCUAUGCGAGUGUUUGGGUGUCAAACCCUUGCGCGUAAUGAAAGUGAACGGAGGUGGGAACCCCUCGUCCAGGGGGGUGCACCAUCGACCGAUCCCGAAGUCUUCUGAAGGAUUUGAGUAGGAGCAUAGCUGUUGGGACCCGAAAGAUGGUGAACUAUGCCUGAAUAGGGUGAAGCCAGAGGAAACUCUGGUGGAGGCUCGCAUCGGUUCUGACGUGCAAAUCGAUCGUCAAAUUUGGGUAUAGGGGCGAAAGACUAAUCGAACCAUCUAGUAGCUGG
rnacentral:rRNA from 1 species